rnacentral:rRNA from 1 species
UAGGGAAUCUUCGGCAAUGGGGGGAACCCUGACCGAGCAACGCCGCGUGAGUGAAGAAGGUUUUCGGAUCGUAAAGCUCUGUUGGUAAGGAAGAACGAGUGUGAGAAUGGAAAGUUCAUACUGUGACGGUACUUAACCAGAAAGGGACGGCUAACUACGUGCCAGCAGCCGCGGUAAUACGUAGGUCCCGAGCGUUGUCCGGAUUUAUUGGGCGUAAAGCGAGCGCAGGCGGUUAGAUAAGUCUGAAGUUAAAGGCAGUGGCUCAACCAUUGUAGGCUUUGGAAACUGUUUAACUUGAGUGCAGAAGGGGAGAGUGGAAUUCCAUGUGUAGCGGUGAAAUGCGUAGAUAUAUGGAGGAACACCGGUGGCGAAAGCGGCUCUCUGGUCUGUAACUGACGCUGAGGCUCGAAAGCGUGGGGAGCGAACAGG